GAUGAACGCUGGCGGCGUGCCUAAUACAUGCAAGUCGAGCGAAUGGAUUAAGAGCUUGCUCUUAUGAAGUUAGCGGCGGACGGGUGAGUAACACGUGGAUAACCUGCCCAUAAGACUGGGAUAACUCCGGGAAACCGGGGCUAAUACCGGAUAAUAUUUUGAACUGCAUGGUUCAAAAUUGAAAGGCGGCUUCGGCUGUCACUGAUGGAUGGAACCGCGUCGCAUUAGCUAGUUGGUGAGGUAACGGCUAACCAAGGCAACGAUGCGUAGCCGACCUGAGAGGGUGAUCGGCCACACUGGGACUGGGACACGGCCCAGACUCCUACGGGAGGCAGCAGUAGGGAAUCUUCCGCAAUGGACGAAAGUCUGACGGAGCAACGCCGCGUGAGUGAUGAAGGCUUUCGGGUCGUAAAACUCUGUUGUUAGGGAAGAACAAGUGCUAGUUGAAUAAGCUGGCACCUUGACGGUACCUAACCAGAAAGCCACGGCUAACUACGUGCCAGCCGCCGCGGUAA
rnacentral:rRNA from 1 species